AUUAUUUUGACAGAGACUUCGGUUGAAGUCGUUAUAAUCCUAGUGGCGGACGGGUGAGUAACGCGUGGGUAACCUGCCUCACACUGGGGGAUAACAGUCAGAAAUGACUGCUAAUACCGCAUAAGCGCACGGGGCCGCAUGGCUCAGUGUGAAAAACUCCGGUGGUGUGAGAUGGACCCGCGUUGGAUUAGCCAGUUGGCAGGGUAACGGCCUACCAAAGCGACGAUCCAUAGCCGGCCUGAGAGGGUGGACGGCCACAUUGGGACUGAGACACGGCCCAGACUCCUACGGGAGGCAGCAGUGGGGAAUAUUGCACAAUGGGGGAAACCCUGAUGCAGCGACGCCGCGUGAAGGAAGAAGUAUCUCGGUAUGUAAACUUCUAUCAGCAGGGAAGAAAAUGACGGUACCUGACUAAGAAGCCCCGGCUAACUACGUGCCAGCAGCCGCGGUAAUACGUAGGGGGCAAGCGUUAUCCGGAUUUACUGGGUGUAAAGGGAGCGUAGACGGAGCAGCAAGUCUGAUGUGAAAGGCGGGGGCUCAACCCCCGGACUGCAUUGGAAACUGUUGAUCUUGAGUACCGGAGAGGUAAGCGGAAUUCCUAG
rnacentral:rRNA from 1 species